AAGUCGUAACAAGGUUUCCGUAGCUGAACCUGCGGAAGGAUCAUUAACACGUAUCCAAACGUUAAAACCCCCCCCGUGAACCUUCAUCCUGCUCUUGUAACCCGCGUAGUUCGCAAUCUCUGAUAAAUCAUAGCCCGGAAAGUUGUAGUGAUUCAGAGACCUCUGGCUACGUGCGAGUUUCCCCAAGCAGUCAGUGUCGGAAAGUGUCAUUGAUUGUGCAAGGAUAGCGCUUCUACGAUUCCUGUAGACCGUACACUCGGGCAGGAGCUUUGCCAAAGGGUCCCCAUGCCCCCUAAUAACCCCACAGUUUAAUGUGAAGCUCAAUGUAAUAUAAUGGGUAAAAAAACCGAACAACUGUUAACAAUGGAUAUCUUGGUUCUC
rnacentral:misc_RNA from 1 species